rnacentral:rRNA from 1 species
AUUGAACGCUGGCGGCAGGCCUAACACAUGCAAGUCGGGCGAGCGGAGGACGGGAGAGUAAGGUAUGGGGAUCUGCCUGAUGGAGGGGGAUAACUACUGGAAACGGUAGCUAAUACCGCAUACCGUCAGAUGAACCCAUAUGGGAUUAGCUUGUAGGUGGGGUAACGGCUCACCUAGGCGACAAUCCCUAGCUGGUCUGAGAGGAUGAUAGGCCACACGGGGACUGAGACACGGCCCAGACUCCUACGGUAGGCAGCAGUGGGGAAUAUGGCACAAUGGGCGCAAGCCUGAUGCAGCCAUGCCGCGUGUAUGAAGAAGGCCUUCGGGUUGUAAAGUACUUUCAGUCGGGAGGCGGUACCGACAGAAGAAGCACCGGCUAACUCCGUGCCAGCCGCCGCGGUAAUUC